rnacentral:misc_RNA from 1 species
GAUGAAGAACGUAGCGAAAUGCGAUAAGUAAUGUGAAUUGCAGAAUUCAGUGAAUCAUCGAAUCUUUGAACGCACAUUGCGCCCGUCAGUAUUCUGGCGGGCAUGCCUGUUCGAGCGUCAUUACGCCCCUCAAGUCCCCUGUGGACUUGGUGUUGGGGAUCGGCGAGGCUGGUUUUCCAGCACAGCCGUCCCUUAAAUUAAUUGGCGGUCUCGCCGUGGCCCUCCUCUGCGCAGUAGUAAAACACUCGCAACAGGAGCCNNGCGCGGUCCACUGCCGUAAAACCCCCCAACUUUUUAUAGUUGACCUCGAAUCAGGUAGGACUACCCGCUGAACUUAAGCAUAUCAAUAAGCGGAGGA